rnacentral:lncRNA from 1 species
AGCAGUGUCAUGGCUUUUGCUGUUCUCUUGGACGGAUGGUUGGUGACAACCGAAUGGGUCAUGUGCCACUGGGCUCCCCAGGUGUCCGAGUGUUUUGCCUGCCUGUAUGAACAUAUACUAUGAGUGCUGUGCCUUGGAGCUGGAAUGAACAUAGUUCUGUGCAUGAAUCCUCUGAAAGAGCGGACAAGAUUCUCUGUGGAACCAUGGCUAUCCUUGAACUCACAGAGAUUCAUUGCUGCUGGGAGUAAAGUUUACAGGACCACCAUAUCUGACAUGAAAAUUCAAAGCACACUUAGAAGACUUUGUGUUCUCUAGAGAAGUUAGCAGGAUUGUUUAAAUUUUGAGAACUGGCCACACCAGACACAGAAUCAAGAUAAAACUCAACUGAUAAAACACAGAAAUGCUCAAGUGAGGUCAUGAACAAACAGUAAGUCAAUCACCUGCUUUGUACCCAUCUGUCUACUCACAAAGGCAGAAAUAUGAUGGUAGGUGGAACGGUUGGUUUUCAAUGAAGGAAUUCUGUUUAUGUCAAUGUUCUGGAAAAUAGGAAAUAACAUACAGUUAAAAGUU